rnacentral:rRNA from 1 species
AACGAACACUGGCGGCAGGCCUAACACAUGCAAGUCGAACGGCAGCACAGAGGAGCUUGCUCCUUGGGUGGCGAGUGGCGGACGGGUGAGGAAUACAUCGGAAUCUGCCUUAUCGUGGGGGAUAACGUAGGGAAACUUACGCUAAUACCGCAUACGACCUACGGGUGAAAGCGGGGGAUCGCAAGACCUCGCGCGAGAAGAUUAGCCGAUGUCGGAUUAGCUCGUUGGCGGGGUAAAGGCCCACCAAGGCGACGAUCCGUAGCUGGUCUGAGAGGAUGAUCAGCCACACUGGAACUGAGACACGGUCCAGACUCCUACGGGAGGCAGCAGUGGGGAAUAUUGGACAAUGGGCGCAAGCCUGAUCCAGCCAUGCCGCGUGGGUGAAGAAGGCCUUCGGGUUGUAAAGCCCUUUUGUCCGGAAAGAAAAGCACUGGAUUAAUACUUCGGUGUUCUGACGGUACCGGAAGAAUAAGCACCGGCUAACUUCGUGCCAGCAGCCGCCGCAG